AUUGAACGCUGGCGGCAGGCCUAACACAUGCAAGUCGAGCGGAGAGGCGGACGGGAGAGUAAUGCCUAGGAAUCUGCCUGGCAGUUGGGGAUAACGUCCGGAACCGGGCGCUAAUACUGCAUACUAUCAGAUGAGCCUAGGUCGGAUGAAAUAGUUGGUGGGGUAAAGGCCUACCAAGGCGACGAGCCGUAACUGGUCUGAGAGGAUGAUCAGUCACACUGGAACGGAGACACGGUCCAGACUCCUACGGGAGGCAGCAGUGGGGAAUAUUGGACAAUGGGCGAAAGCCUGAUCCAGCCAUGCCGCGUGUGUGAAGAAGGUCUUCGGAUUGUAAAGCACUUUAAGUUGGGAGGCGUUACCAACAGAAUAAGCACCGGCUAACUACGUGCCAGCAGCCGCGGUAAUUC
rnacentral:rRNA from 1 species